AAACUCAAAUGAAUUGACGGGGACCCGCACAAGCGGUGGAUGAUGUGGUUUAAUUCGAUGCAACGCGAAAACCUUACCUACACUUGACAUGCCAGAAAUCCCGCAGAGAUGUGGGAGUGCCGCAAGGAAUCUGGGCACAGGUGCUGCAUGGCUGUCGUCAGCUCGUGUCGUGAGAUGUUGGGUUAAGUCCCGCAACGAGCGCAACCCUUGUCACUAGUUGCUACAUUUAGUUGGGCACUCUAGUGAGACUGCCGGUGACAAACCGGAGGAAGGUGGGGAUGACGUCAAGUCCUCAUGGCCCUUAUGUGUAGGGCUACACACGUCAUACAAUGGUCGGUACAGAGGGUUGCCAACCCGCGAGGGGGAGCUAAUCUCACAAAGCCGAUCGUAGUCCGGAUCGCAGUCUGCAACUCGACUGCGUGAAGUCGGAAUCGCUAGUAAUCGUGGAUCAGCAUGUCACGGUGAAUACGUUCCCGGGUCUUGUACACACCGCCCGUCACACCAUGGGAGUGGAAUCCGCCAGAAGUAGGUAGCCUAACCGCAAGGGGGGCGCUUACCACGGUAGGUUCAUGACUGGGGUGAAGUCGUAACAAGGUAGCCGUAUCGGAAGGUGCGGCUGGAUCACCUCCUUUCUG
rnacentral:rRNA from 1 species